rnacentral:rRNA from 1 species
AGGAUUCAGGGGGCAGACGCGUGGGGAAGAGGGAGGGGUCGGGCGUGGUCCGGAGUGAGUGGGCGUAAAGGGCCCGGGGGGGGCUGGGCAAGUUCGAGGUGAAAUCGCCCGGCGCAACGGGGAGGGGGCCGCGGAAACUGCCAGGCUGGAGGCAGGGAGAGGGAUGUGGAAUUCCCGGUGUAGUGGUGAAAUGCGUAGAUAUCGGGAGGAACACCAGUGGCGAAGGCGGCAUCCUGGCCCUGUCCUGACGCUCAGGGGCGAAAGCGUGGGGAGCAAACCGGAUUAGAUACCCUAGUAGUC